rnacentral:lncRNA from 1 species
AUUCUUGAUGUCUCUGCAAGACUGUUUUGGGGGUGAAAUUAACAGUUCUGUGGCCCUGCAGACUCCUGACUGAACUAACACAGUUGGGGAGAAUAAGCCGUAAAAAGGGGAGCUUUUCUGUCCUUUCACUUUGCACUGAUGCCCCAUCCAUCCUCCCUUUCUGCUUGCCAUGGUAAAUGGUGUCCGACGUAACACAGAUGCACUGUGCACUGGAGAGGCAGAGCAUCCUGCCUUCCACAGCCGUGCACACCAGUCCCUGUGCACAAGUGGCCACCCACCCAGCGAAUCGACGUGGUGUGCUUAUCAAAAUCUGUGUGUCUGUGGGCCAGAGCCAAAUCCAGGAUAUUGACGGAUGUCCUUACUGGUAAGGCUGUCUGGGACUCUCAGUGAAAAGACCGGCCAUGUGUGCCUCCAGAUGGUACUAGAUCCAGGUGCUAGAACAAGAUGAGCAAGUGAAUCUCUCAUACUUCAGAUCCUUCAAGGAUCUUGAAAAGAGCGCUGGAAUCAAAGGCGAACGCCACCACUGCCCGGCCUUGUUUUGUUUUUAAAGACAGUUUUCGGCACACAGAGAGGCUGUGAGUUAGGACGGGGGUUUCUUGCCGUUGCCACCAUUCUCAUUGACACGUUAUGCUGCACACAGCAGAGCCCCAUCCUGAAUGCCCAGCGGUGCCCACAGCCAGGAGGAGCAUUCGAUGUGUGAUGACUCAUCUCGUGCAUCAGACGCUCUCUAAAGUUCCCACAGAUUAUACCAUGGCUUAGUGAGUGCGAUUCUAAGACAGUUCCAAAAGACUUUUCAAUCCGUGGGAGUUUCAAAGUGGAUUCUCAGACAAACAUGGGGAGGACUGAGGCAGGCUUGGACACGCACAGAAUCAGACAACGAUGGUCCGGAGUUCAAAUCCCUGCAACCACAUGGUGGCUCACAACCAACUGUAAUGAGAUCUGGCGCCCUCUUCUGGAGUGUCUGAAGACAGAUACAGUGUACUUACAUAUAGUAAAUAAAUAAAUCUUAAAAAAAAAAAAAA